UACAUGGGGGGCAAGCGUUGUUCGGAAUUACUGGGCGUAAAGGGCUCGUAGGCGGCCAACUAAGUCACACGUGAAAUCCCCAGGCUUAACCUGGGAACUGCGUGUGAUACUGGAUGGCUUGAAUCCGGGAGAGGGAUGCGGAAUUCCAGGUGUAGCGGUGAAAUGCGUAGAUAUCUGGAGGAACACCGGUGGCGAAGGCGGCAUCCUGGACCGGUAUUGACGCUGAUGAGCGAAAGCCAGGGGAGCAAACGGG
rnacentral:rRNA from 1 species